UACGGGGGGGGCAAGCGGUUGUUCGGAAUUACUGGGCGUAAAGCGUCUGUAGGUGGCUUUUUAAGUCCGCCGUCAAAUCCCAGGGCUCAACUCUGGACAGGCGGUGGAAACUACCAAGCUGGAGUACGGUAGGGGCAGAGGGAAUUCCCGGUGUAGCGGUGGAAUGCGUAGAGAUCGGGAAGAACAUCAGUGGCGAAGGCGGUCUGCUGGGCCGUUGCUGACGCUGAGGCGCGACAGCGUGGGGAGCAACAGG
rnacentral:rRNA from 1 species